rnacentral:tmRNA from 1 species
GGGGGUGAAAUGGGUUCGACGGGGGUAGAAGGAGCAAGAGAAGCGGGUCCAGGACCAUGACCUGGCAAAACAUGGAACGGCAUUAACUGCCAACGAUAAUUACGCUCUCGCUGCUUAGUAAAAAGUAGCGCGCUUGCCUUUUCCUUGCCUGUGGGAAAAGAUCCAAGCGUCAUAAAAGCAGGCUACCCGGAUAGAGUCCGCUCUUACUCUUUACGGGGAAACUAAAAAGAGCUAGCUGCUGUAGCAACUUGCUCCGGAGAGGCUUUAGCGGCGAAAAUUAAACCCGGGGCUACACUCGUAGAAGCUCUUGCGGCUUUACUUUCGGACGCGGGUUCGAUUCCCGCCACCUCCACCA